rnacentral:rRNA from 1 species
GACGAACGCUGGCGGCGUGCUUAACACAUGCAAGUCGAACGGAAAGGCCCUGCUUUUGUGGGGUGCUCGAGUGGCGAACGGGUGAGUAACACGUGAGUAACCUGCCCCUGACAUAGGGAUAACUUCAGGAAACUGGGGCUAAUACCGGAUAGGAGCUCCUGCUGCAUGGUGGGGGUUGGAAAGUUUCGGCGGUUGGGGAUGGACUCGCGGCUUAUCAGCUUGUUGGUGGGGUAGUGGCUUACCAAGGCUGUGACGGGUAGCCGGCCUGAGAGGGUGACCGGCCACAUUGGGACUGAGAUACGGCCCAGACUCCUACGGGAGGCAGCAGUGGGGAGUUUUGCACAAUGGGCGGAAGCCUGAUGCAGCAACGCCGCGUGCGGGAUGACGGCCUUCGGGUUGUAAACCGCUUUCGCCUGUGACGAAGCGUGAGUGACGGUAAUGGGUAAAGAAGCACCGGCUAACUACGUG